rnacentral:rRNA from 1 species
ACGAACGCUGGCGGCGUGCUUAACACAUGCAAGUCGAGCGGUGAAGCGAGUGCUUGCACUCGUGGAUCAGUGGCGAACGGGUGAGUAACACGUGAGUAACCUGCCCAUGACUCUGGGAUAAGCACUGGAAACGGUGUCUAAUACUGGAUACGACCAACCCUUGCAUGGGGUGUUGGUGGAAAGAUUUAUCGGUGAUGGAUGGACUCGCGGCCUAUCAGCUUGUUGGCGGGGUAAUGGCCCACCAAGGCGACGACGGGUAGCCGGCCUGAGAGGGUGACCGGCCACACUGGGACUGAGACACGGCCCAGACUCCUACGGGAGGCAGCAGUGGGGAAUAUUGCACAAUGGGCGAAAGCCUGAUGCAGCGACGCCGCGUGAGGGAUGACGGCCUUCGGGUUGUAAACCUCUUUCAGCAGGGAAGAAGCGAAAGUGACGGUACCUGCAGAAGAAGCACCGGCUAACUACGUG